GCCUUUGUGGUGUAUUGGUUUGAGCAUUGGACUAUGACUGGAGACCAGGGUUCAAAUCCCUGCUUGAGCA